GGAAACUAAAAGGGCAAAGACUCGAGCUUGACUUGUGAUACCUGUUGAGUAGCACUCACUCACAUCAGAAAAACACUAUGAGAUUGAAUUUCAAAAGGCUUAUGUGGCAGAUUUCCUUGGAUACAGUGUUUAUUUGCUGCUUGUCCCUGUGCAUUGACUUCCAGACAACACAGUCUCUGGGAAAUGCAGGAAACAGAGCUGGAACUGGAACUGGAUUCCUGCUGGAUGACAUCUGUGGCUGCAGCUAUGCUUCGUGACAAAUACCACCUGGGUGAGGAGAUUUGGGAUUCCAGCGUGGCCACCCAAUGAAAUUAUUUUAUCCAAGAGAAUCACCAUAUCCAUCAGUGAAAACAAACCACCUGCUAUUUUUCUCUAUGAGAAGAGCUUCUGUUGAGGCAAAGAAUGCAGUAAACUCACAGUCCUGAGGAAGAAUUUGUGUGCAGCAUUGAGCCAACAACUGUGGGAGAUGAAUACUCAACUUUACACAGCCGAUACACAAAGAUAUAUCAUUAUCCUCAACUUUAUGCAAAAGUUCAGAGGACUGAUGUAACACAGGUCUUUGCUGAAGUUACUGCAGAUUCUCUUGAAUCCUCUCCAGACCAUCUGUAGCCUAUGUUACACCUGAGGAGCAGACAGGGCUUGGUGUGCGUGGCAAAAUGCUCACUAUGAAAGAAAAACAGGGGCAGCAACACCAAUGCCAGCAGUGCAGGGUUUACCAUGCUGCUAGUCUCACUCCAUGAUCACAAGGAUAACAUUGGUAAGUUGGUAACAUUGCAUGCCCAUGCUUUUUG